rnacentral:rRNA from 1 species
UCGUCAUAGAGCUACGCGGGCAGGGUAAUACGUAGGGGGCCAGGAUAGUCCGGUGUUAAGCUGCGGGAAGAGUGAGCAGGAGGUCCCUUGAGUAUGAUGUGAAAGCCCACGGCUCAGCAGUGGUGAGUCAUUGGAAACUGGGUGACUUGAGUGCAGAAGAGGAAAGCGGAAUUCCACGUGUGGCGGUGAAAUGCGUAGAGAUGUGGAGGAACACCAGUGGCGAAGGCGACUUUCUGGCCUAUAACUGACGCUGAGGCGCGAAAGCGUGGGGAGCAAACAGGAUUAGAUACCCGGGUAGUC